UGAAGAGUAUUAAAACCAUCCUGCAGAAGUAAUUAGCGACCAGAAGGGGGCUCUCUUGUGUUACACUAGCGGUUGCCAAACACUUCCAUGCUGUGGUGGCCCGACUAAAGCCUUUGGAUAUAUCUUUCUGCAGCUUACUAACUAAACAAAAGCAAUGUUGUUCAGCACAAAUACAACAUUCUCACUCUCUACUCCACCAACAGGGCGGAGAGGAAGAGAGCCAGUGUGAAGCAGCAGAGUCUCAGCAGAAACCUCUUCAUCCUGGAAAGAACGGACCAAUCAGGACAGCCAUAUUUCAGUCCCGCCCCUCAGGUCCAGGAAGCCCUUGUUGCCAGCCAGAUAAUCUUGUCAAGCAAACUGACUCCUGCGCUCACAGAAUAUGAGCUAUCGCAACAUCAGGCUGGUUCCACCAGGCUACCUUCCAGGACCAGAGCCAGUGAAAGGUGGUGAGGGGGAGGCGUCUCAGAUCCAGGCAUUGGUGGACCCUGCCUAGUGUUCGUCCUCCAGAACCCUCCUGGUCCUGACUUUUGUGUCCAGAGAGGAACCAGACCCAAUCAGAACCACUAGUCCCAGUACUGCUAGAUUAAAGACCAGGAACCCCAGUGUGGAUAUUGCACAGAGGCUCUGCCUGUCCCUGCUACCCAACCUCUGUCUGUCUGUCUGUCUGUCUGUCUGUCUGUCUGUCUGUCUGUCUGUCUGUCUGUCUGUCUGUCUGUCUGUCUGUCUGUCUGUCUGUCUGUCUGCCUGCCUGCCUGCCUGCCUGCCUGCCUGCCUGCCUGCCUGCCUGCCGGAGUGCUCUGGUCUCAGACUGUAGCUAGCUGUCUAAGGAGCCUGUCUGCUGGGGUGCUCUGGUCUCAGGCAGUAGCUAGCUGUCUAAGGAGCCUGUCUGCUGGGGUGCUCUGGUCUUAGACUGUAGCUAGCUGUCAGAGGAUCCUGUCUGCUGGGGUGUUCUGGUCUCAGGCUGUAGCUAGCUGUCCAAGGAACCUGUCUGCUGGGGUGCUGUGGUCUCAGACUGUAGCUAGCUGUCAGAAGUUCCUGUCUGCUGGGGUGCUCUGGUCUCAGGCUGUAGCUAGCUGUCAGAGGAUCCUGUCUGCUGGGGUGCUCUGGUCUCAGACUGUAGCUAGCUGUCAGAGGAUCCUGUCUGCUGGGGUGCUCUGGUCUCAGGCUGUAGCUAGCUGUCAGAGGAUCCUGUCUGCUGGGGUGCUCUGGUCUCAGGCUGUAGCUAGCUGUCAGAGGAUCCUGUCUGCUGGGGUGCUGUGGUCUCAGGCUGUAGCUAGCUGUCAGAGGAUCCUGUCUGCUGGGGUGCUGUGGUCUCAGGCUGUUGCUAGCUGUCAGAGGAUCCUGUCUGCUGGGGUGCUGUGGUCACAGGAUCCUGUCUGCUGGGGUGCUGUGGUCUCAGGCUGUAGCUAGCUGUCAGAGGAUCCUGUCUGCUGGGGUGCUGUGGUCUCAGGCUUUAGCUAGCUGUCAGAGGAUCCUGUCUGCUGGGGUGCUGUGGUCUCAGGCUGUAGCUAGCUGUCCAAGGAUCCUGUCUGCUGGGGUGCUGUGGUCUCAGGCUGUAGCUAGCCUUCAGAGGAUCCUGUCUGCUGGGGUGCUCUGUUCUCAGGCUGUAGCUAGCUGUCAGAGGAUCCUGUCUGCUGGGGUGCUCUGGUCUCAGGCUGUAGCUAGCUGUCAGAGGUUCCUGUCUGCUGGGGUGCUCUGGUCUCAGGCUGUAGCUAGCUGUCAGAGGAUCCUCUCUGCUGGGGUGCUGUGGUCUCAGGCUGUAGCUAGCUAUCUAAGGAACUACCUUCAGCACAAAUGCUUCUGAAGGAAUGUUCUACCUCUGAUGUGCCUUGUUUCAAUGAAUCGCAAAAGAAAAAGUCAUUAUUGGGUUAAUAUUAUUUAAUAACCCUGUCAAAAUGUUUUGGUGAAUAAAUUGUGGGUUGUGAAACAAAACAGAAGUGAAGAGAACUACUGUUUAACUGUAGCUACGGUACUUUAAUGAAGAUAAUGAAGGGUUUUGGUUAUGACAUUGUUUUCUUCUACUACUACUGCGUAGUUUAGAAGCAUUUAGAAUCAUAUUGAUGUGACAAGGAAUUAUGGGUAAUUAUUUUUUUAUACCUUUAUUUCAGCAAAUCAUGCAAUUUUUAUUUGAUUUCUUUCAAAAGUAAAAAAAUU
rnacentral:lncRNA from 1 species